ACGGAAGGCAGCAGUGGGGGAUAUUGCACAAUGGGGGAAACCCUGAUGCAGCGACGCCGCGUGAGUGAAGAAGUAUUUCGGUACGUAAAGCUCUAUCAGCAGGGAAGAAAAUGACGGUACCUGACUAAGAAGCUCCGGCUAAAUACGUGCCAGCAGCCGCGGUAAUACGUAUGGAGCAAGCGUUAUCCGGAUUUACUGGGUGUAAAGGGAGCGUAGACGGCGAGGCAAGUCUGAUGUGAAAGCCAUGGGCUCAACCCAUGAACUGCAUUGGAAACUGUCUUGCUUGAGUGUCGGAGAGGUAAGCGGAAUUCCUAGUGUAGCGGUGAAAUGCGUAGAUAUUAGGAGGAACACCAGUGGCGAAGGCGGCUUACUGGACGAUAACUGACGUUGAGGCUCGAAAGCGUGGGGAGCAAACAGGAUUAGAUACCCUGGUA
rnacentral:rRNA from 1 species